CUAUAGUCCAGAGCCUAACUUAUUUGGCUCUGGAAAUUGUGAGUGUACCUUUCUCUCUUAACCACAAAAUAUAUAUGUUAUAACAGUACACACUAUGCUGUAUUUUAUAUUUAUAUACAGGGUCCACAGCUAAGAACUGUAACUGCCAAUAGGACCCAUAUAGUCAUAUUUAACAAAAGGUAAAAAAUAUUACUGAGUUUGUGCGCUAUCACCUGUUUCUUUUUAUCUUGGUUUCUAUUCAUAGCGUACAGAGUGGCUAUACACUGAGGUGAUUAAAAGCUGCACCGGUUUCUAUUUUUUGAAUUUAGCGCCCAGUUUACCUUCUAUUGCUUGUUUUUUGUAAUAUUUAUAUAUAUGUAUAUAUGUUCUUCACAAAAUAAUUCACACUGCUGCCACAUUACAGACAAUCUUUUAUUUACAGGAAAAACAAAACAAAAAACAAGUGAUAACAUUUUAACUUUAAUACCCGUUGCCUUUUCAGGUGAAUAUGUUUCAUAAGGUAUGUGUUAGUGGACUUAAAGUGCUAUUGAGGUAUCAUAUAGAUUAUCUAUAUUAAAUUACCUUAUAAUAAAGCAACAAAACAAAAACUCUUUUUCACAAUUAUCUGAUCAUUUUUAUAGUGAUAGAUGUAGUGUGAAUUCAGAGCAUUAUAUAUGUUAUACAAUAUUUUGUAUAAAAAUAAACAAGGUGUUCAAGAUAAGCUUAAACUAAUAUGUAAUCAGUGCAAGAAAAGCACUCUGGACAGGAUUAGUGUUUGAUAAAUAGUGUUAUACUGUGUUCACGAAUUAUAUUAUCCCAUCAUACAGACUGGCACUUUAUAUAUACACAGGGGUGUACAUAUUACAAAAUAAAUAAAUACAGAAAUAAAUUAACACUCUGCAAUAAAGAUCUAUAAAUGGACCAGGGCAGUCACCAUGGAAUCCGAUAGAAUGUUCUUGCUGAUUGCCCCAGUUUUAGAAUGUCAGGAAGUAGCAAGCUUGUACGUACAAUGAGUGAUCUUCACAGACGCAGUAAAACAGAUGAUGAAGCAGCUUUGAAAUAUAUCAACUCCUGGCACCUUUGGGCAAAGUACGUUUUCCUCUGUGGCCAAUGCUGUUGGACUGUUCAUGGUCGAUCGGCCAAAGCAAGCACGAGGAACUGGCCAUCGCAUCACGUAACACUAUGCUUUCACUGGCAGCUUCAGAAAACGCAUUACUGGGCCCAAUAGGCAUUGCAAGCAUUUAUGACAGGAAGCUGAGGAUUCCUCAGUAUUCAUUUCCUGUCUUCCUUUUCCUUAAGGUGCCUACUUCAUCAUUGCUAGGGCUGUCACCUACCUCUGGAAUCUCUCGUUCAUCUUCAGAAUCUACCAAGAGUUCGUUGGUGCAAACAUCUCCUUGCUCACUACAGCUGUCUGAAUGGAAUCCAGCAUUCUCUGCAAUCACAGCGGGGUCAUCUUCCUCAUCUUCUUCCAUGUAGCAUGUCUCAACAUUGAGGAGGGUAUUCUGUG